rnacentral:rRNA from 1 species
GACGAACGCUGGCGGCGUGCUUAACACAUGCAAGUCGAACGGAAAGGCCCUGCUUUUGUGGGGUGCUCGAGUGGCGAACGGGUGAGUAACACGUGAGUAACCUGCCCUUGACUUUGGGAUAACUUCAGGAAACUGGGGCUAAUACCGGAUAGGAGCUCCUGCUGCAUGGUGGGGGUUGGAAAGUUUCGGCGGUUGGGGAUGGACUCGCGGCUUAUCAGCUUGUUGGUGGGGUAGUGGCUUACCAAGGCUUUGACGGGUAGCCGGCCUGAGAGGGUGACCGGCCACAUGGGUACUGAGAUACGGCCCAGACUCCUACGGGAGGCAGCAGUGGGAAGUAUUGCGCAAUGGGCGGAAGCCUGAUGCAGCAACGCCGCGUGCGGGAUGACGGCCUUCGAGUUGUGAACCGCUUUCGCCGGUGACGAAGCGUGAGUGACGGUAAUGGGUAAGGAAGCACCGGCUAACUACGUG